rnacentral:rRNA from 1 species
AUUGAACGCUGGCGGCAUGCCUUACACAUGCAAGUCGAACGGUAACGGGCCUUCGGGUGCCGACGAGUGGCGAACGGGUGAGUAAUACAUCGGAACGUGCCCGAUCGUGGGGGAUAACGAGGCGAAAGCUUUGCUAAUACCGCAUACGAUCUACGGAUGAAAGCAGGGGACCGCAAGGCCUUGCGCGGACGGAGCGGCCGAUGGCAGAUUAGGUAGAUGGUGGGAUAAAAGCUUACCAAGCCGACGAUCUGUAGCUGGUCUGAGAGGAUGAUCAGCCACACUGGGACUGAGACACGGCCCAGACUCCUACGGGAGGCAGCAGUGGGGAAUUUUGGACAAUGGGCGCAAGCCUGAUCCAGCCAUGCCGCGUGCAGGAUGAAGGCCUUCGGGUUGUAAACUGCUUUUGUACGGAACGAAAAGCCUUCUUUUAAUACAGGAGGGUCAUGACGGUACCGUAAGAAUAAGCACCGGCUAACUACGUG